GAUGAACGCUGGCGGCGUGCCUAAUACAUGCAAGUCGAGCGAACAGACGAGGAGCUUGCUCCCCUGACGUUAGCGGCGGACGGGUGAGUAACACGUGGAUAACCUACCUAUAAGACUGGGAUAACUUCGGGAAACCGGAGCUAAUACCGGAUAACAUGUUGAACCGCAUGGUUCAACAGUGAAAGACGGUUUUGCUGUCACUUAUAGAUGGAUCCGCGCCGCAUUAGCUAGUUGGUAAGGUAACGGCUUACCAAGGCAACGAUGCGUAGCCGACCUGAGAGGGUGAUCGGCCACACUGGAACUGAGACACGGUCCAGACUCCUACGGGAGGCAGCAGUAGGGAAUCUUCCGCAAUGGGCGAAAGCCUGACGGAGCAACGCCGCGUGAGUGAAGAAGGUCUUCGGAUCGUAAAACUCUGUUAUUAGGGAAGAACAAAUGUGUAAGUAACUAUGCACGUCUUGACGGUACCUAAUCAGAAAGCCACGGCUAACUACGUG
rnacentral:rRNA from 1 species